GCUAGCCCCGCCCCUCCGCCCAGGAGCCGGGCCGGAAGAUGGCGGCGGCCGCGGAGCUGAGGCUGCUGGAGAAGUCUCUGGGACUGAGGCCUGGGAAUAAGUACAGCGCCCAGGGCGAGCGGCAGAUUCCAGUUCUACAAACAAACAAUGGUCCAAGUCUAAUGGGAUUAAGUACCAUCGCGACCCAUCUAGUCAAGCAAGCCAAGAAGGAACACUUGCUGGGGAGCACUGCAGAAGAAAAGGCAGUAGUUCAGCAGUGGCUAGAGUUCAGGGUCACUCGAGUAGACGGACACUCCAGUAAAGAAGAUACCCACACUCUGCUGAAGGAUCUUAACUCCUAUCUUGAAGAUAGAGUCUACCUGGCAGGACAUAGCAUCACGCUGGCGGACAUCCUGCUGUACUACGGGCUUCAUCGCUUUAUAGUUGACCUGACAGUUCAAGAAAAGGAGAAAUACCUUAAUGUGUCUCGCUGGUUUUGUCACAUUCAGCACUACCCAGACAUCAGGCAGCAUCUGUCUACUGUUGUCUUCAUCAAGAACAGACUGUACGCUAACUCCCGCUAGAAGCCCCUGCUGUGCAGCAGCCAGAUUAGACGUAUGAUGGAAAGCGUAUUUUGGACCAUGGCACUGUUUACUGAGGUGAAGCUAACUGCUGGAGGGAAUUAAAUGCAUUCCUCUAAAGCUAAAGACUUCCUCUUGUUAGGCAUAUUGAAAGCUGGAGUGACUAAACUGGGCUUCGCCAUCUCAUUGUUUCAGCGAGAGCCCACAAGCCCUCAGUCUGCAUCACAGCACCGAGCAUAGCAAAGACGCUGUUAGCCAAGGCUCCGUUCAUGCUGUAGCUCUCACUGGUAUAAUAGGUCAUUGACAGUUAAAGAGUUUGUCUUUCCAAAUAAGAGAAGUGGAGUCAGGCAUAGCGUGGCCUCUCAUGUUUGUGUGGCUAAGUGAGAAAGAACCACAGACCCAAGGCCAGCCUAGACUGGACAGGGAGACUUGCACUUAAAGAAAACAAUGAAGAGCUGGAGUGUAAAUCAAUAAUGGAUUAUGUGCCCAGCAUGCACAAGGUCCUGUGUUCAGUCCCCAUUGCCAGGAGAGACAGAAGGGAGAGAAUUUUAGGUGUUAUGAUUCAAAGUUCCAGGGAAAGAGCAAAAAAAAUUAUGAAUAUUGAGCACUUUGAGUCCUGUUUUUAAUCAUUAAACAUGAUUUUAAGCAAAGCAAAAUCCCCACUUUGUUUUUGGUCUUUCAAGACAGGGUUUCCCUGUAUAACAGCCCAGGCCAUCCUGAACUCACUUUGUAGACCAGGCUGACCCCACACUCAGAGAUCUGCCUGCCUCUGUCUCCUGAGUGCUGGGAUUACAGGUGUGCAUCACCACUUCCCACCAAAAGCCCCACUUCUAAACAUUACUACAGUAGAAACCAAGUUUUCAACCCUUGCACUUUGGGAGACAUCUUAGUUCCAAAGUGUAAGUGUUCUGUAAAAUAAAUGUAUUUAAAAGUUUAAAGACCAAAUGAAAUGGGUACACACCCAUUGUAUAGCUCAGUAAAGUAGCUUAAUAAAUGAGAAUUGGACAGACUGCUCUCAGCCUCUCUCAGUGAUGGGACGCUGGCUGAGUCAAUGAGUCUGAUGAAAUCCGUCUCUUGAAGCAGAGGUAAAGAUCACUAAUCUUGCCUCACUACCAAUGAUAAUCAUAAAAACUACAGCCAGCCUCUUCCCACCCGCCAUCCCUAAGAUGCCAGGCUGCUCAGUGUGUGAAUCCAUCUGAGAGAAGACAAAAAGCAGCAGCACAUCAUAUAAUUGUGGGGGAAAAAAAAAAAACAUUCACAUUACUGCCGUUAUAGUCUGGUCCUUGCUUCCUUCAAGAUGCCGAACGAGAGACCAUACGAUUGUCUAUAACUCGCUUCUGCAAUGUCUGUGAGAUGCACCCAAAAUGUGGCCACUCAAAUGUAUGCUGUUCCUUUUUGAAAAGUAAAUGCCUCCUCCCACCAUUUCUCUCUGUAAUGCCCCAAAACCUGCUUCACUGACCAUUCAGUGAUUGCCCCAAGUGUGUGCUCAGCUCUUGCCAUUGAUAGGCUUCAAGACUUGGGCAUACCAUACAGCACAUUCUUGCCCUCAAAGAAUCUACAGCCUGUCUUACCUGUGAACGGGCCCUGAGGCAGGGCACACAAAGCAUUCUUUUUGGGGGCUGCCUGACCCCACCAUUCUCUGGAAAUAAAAUACUAAGUAUUGAA